GACGAACGCUGGCGGCGUGCUUAACACAUGCAAGUCGAACGGAAAAGGCCCUUUGGGGGUACUCUUCUGGCGCACGGGGGAGUAACACGCGUGUAAACCUCCCUGGACUUCGGGAUUACCUUAGGAAAACGGGGCCAAUUCCCGCAUGGGAUCCUUGCUAGAUGGUGGGGGUUGGAAAGCUUCGGCGGUUUUGGAUGGACCUGGGGCUUAUCAGCUUGUUGGUGGGGUAGUGGCUUACCAAGGCGUGGACCGGUAGCCGGCCUGAGAGGGCGACCGGCCACAGUGGGUCUGAGAGGCGGCCCAGGCUGCUAAUGGAGGCAGCAGUGGGGAAGAUUGAACAAUGGGCGGAGGCCGGAUGCAGCAAGUCCGCGGACGGGAUGACAGCCUUCGGUGUGUAAAACGGUAUUAGCAGGGGCGAAUCCUGUGGUGACGUUACCUGCAGAAGAAGCACCGGCUAACUACGUG
rnacentral:rRNA from 1 species